GUGAUGACGUGCUUUUUGUAGAACGAGCCAACGAGUUACGGUAUGUAGCAAGGUUAAGUACUUAAGGUACGGAGCCGAAGGGAAACCGAGUCUUAAUAGGGCGACUAGUUGCAUGCCGUAGACCCGAAACCGGGUGACCUAUCCAUGGCCAGGUUGAAGCGGGGGUAAAACCCCGUGGAGGACCGAACCACGUUGCUGUUGAAAAAGCAUGGGAUGAGCUGUGGAUAGCGGAGAAAUUCCAAUCGAACUCGGAGAUAGCUGGUUCUCCUCGAAAUAGCUUUAGGGCUAGCGUCGGAUAUGAGUAGUGGAGGUAGAGCACUGAAUGGGCUAGGGGGCAUAGCGCUUACCGAACCUUAUCAAACUCCGAAUGCCACAUACUAUUAGUCCGGCAGUCAGACUGCGAAAGAUAAGUUCCGUAGUCAAAAGGGAAACAGCCCAGAUCGUCAGCUAAGGUCCCAAAGUGUAAGUUAAGUGGAAAAGGAUGUGGGAUUUCUAAGACAACUAGGAUGUUGGCUUAGAAGCAGCCACUCAUUAAAAGAGUGCGUAAUAGCUCACUAGUCGAGAGAUCCUGCGCCGAAGAUGUCCGGGGCUCAAACUUACCACCGAAGCUACGGGUUCACACUUAUGUGUGAGCGGUAGAGGAGCGUCGUAAUCGGGCUGAAGUCGUACCGUAAGGAGCGGUGGACUGAUUACGAGUGAGAAUGUUGGCAUUAGUAGCGAGAUGUGGGUGAGAAUCCCACAGGCCGAAUAUCUAAGGUUUCCUCAGGAAGGUUCGUCCGCUGAGGGUUAGUCGGGACCUAAGCCGAGGCCGAAAGGCGUAGGCGAUGGACAAUCGGUUGAUAUUCCGAUACCACUACUGAUCGUUAUUAUCGAUGGUGUGACGGAGAAGGAUAGAGUGUGCUAGCUAUUGGAUGCUAGUCUAAGCGUUUAGGGAGUUAGGAAAGGCAAAUCCGUCCUAACAAUUCUGAGGCGUGAUGGGGAAGGUUCUACGGAACCGAAGUACUUGAUUCCAUGCUUCCAAGAAAAGCAUCUAGAGAGAGAUGUAGUGCCCGUACCGCAAACCGACACAGGUAGAUGAGGAGAGAAUCCUAAGGCCGGCGGAAGAAUCACAGUUAAGGAACUAGGCAAAUUGACCCCGUAACUUAGGGAGAAGGGGUGCCUGCGAGAGCAGGCCGCAGAGAAUAGGCCCAAGCAACUGUUUAGCAAAAACACAGGUCUCUGCUAAAGCGAAAGCUGAUGUAUAGGGGCUGACGCCUGCCCGGUGCUGGAAGGUUAAGGGGAACACUUAGCGCAAGCGAAGGUGUGAACUUAAGCCCCAGUAAACGGCGG
rnacentral:rRNA from 1 species